AACGAACGCUGGCGGCAGGCUUAACACAUGCAGGUCGAACGCCCCGCAAGGGGAGUGGCAGACGGGUGAGUAACGUGUGGGAAUCUACCCAUCUCUGCGGAAUAGCUCCGGGAAACUGGAAUUAAUACCGCAUACGCCCUACGGGGGAAAGAUUUAUCGGGGAUGGAUGAGCCCGCGUUGGAUUAGCUAGUUGGUGGGGUAAAGGCCUACCAAGGCGACGAUCCAUAGCUGGUCUGAGAGGAUGAUCAGCAACAUUGGGACUGAGACACGGCCCAAACUCUUACGGGAGGCGGCAGUGGGGAAUAUUGGACAGUGGGCGCAAGCCUGAUCCAGCCAUGCCGCGUGAGUGAUGAAGGCCUUAGGGUUGUAAAGCUCUUUCACCGGUGAAGAUAAUGACGGUAACCGGAGAAGAAGCCCCGGCUAACUUCGUGCCAGCCGCCGCCGUAA
rnacentral:rRNA from 1 species